rnacentral:tRNA from 1 species
GCCCCCAUCGUCCAGCGGUCUAGGACGCCGGCCUUUCACGCCGGUAACACGGGUUCGAAUCCCGUUGGGGGUACGA